CCAUUUGCCCCCAGCGUUUCCACGUCCAGAAUUGAAUUUGAGUUUGCUAUCAAAUUCUCCUAGUAAUUAGAUCAAACUCAACGACCUGCCUCUACAGUUUCUUUCUUCGUAUUCUAAUACUGUCUCAAUUUCUCCUCCCUUUUUCAUUAAUUGCAGUCUUCUCUGUUGCACUGCUCAAUUUACGUACAAUUAUACGGUCAGUUCUGUUUUGUCUAGCUUUUUUCUUUAACUAUCCAAACUUUUUUUGGGGGUUGCACGCGUUAUUAUUAAUUUUGUUUUCACAAUUCCAGUUUUGCCGUAUUGAAAUUGUUUAAAUUAUGUAAAGUUGUUGGGCAGUGGUUUUCUGUUUUCUUUUUAUGGGGGUGAGGUUGGAACAACGAUUGGUUGUUUAGGAAAAGGAUUAAUUUAUAUUCAUAUCUUUUUGAAAUGAGGAAUACAAACAUGUUUUCUAUGUGAAAUUUUGGAAUGCCUUUACUGGUUUGGUACCAUGCCUGGUUGGGGUAAUUAAGAAGCUCUUGGACCGGGUUGACUUUAGCUGACUAAAAUGACUUUUUCCUUUGUUUAUCCAACCUUUUCUGAAUAUCAGUGUUAUCUGGAUUAAGAUUGUGUUGGUUUCCACUGUGAAGAAUGUCUCCUUAUGUUGUUUUAAAUCUUCCAUGGAAGAUUAGCUUGCUUUCGUCUGAAAUUCAAACGUAAUUGGUGAUAUAUUAUGCCUCUGUUUUUCGUGCUUCGUUUCGCGCUUCUCAUGAUUUAAUCUUAAUUUCCACAUGUUUCAACUCUUUUAAAGUGCAAUAAGGAUGAAUUUAAGUUUAUGAUUUAGACACAACAUCCAGACUUGCACUAGAGGUAUUUGAGAAAUUGCCGACUAGAAAGGAGUAAAGUAUUUGAGAAUGGCGAGGACAGUUGAGAAAUUUUACUAUUUUAAAUUGCCACCGCCUGAGCCUAAGAAACCUUAAAAUAGGGGAAAUAUAGACAAAUUAAGUUUGGUUCUAUGAGUAUUAAUUUGAACUCCAGAGAGGUUAGAAAUUCUGUUUUAUAGUUGUGCUUAUGAUGUUUUUUGGACUGUUUUGUGCUGUGUGUAAGUCCUUUUGGUCUAUGAACUGUUAACAUCAUGAAUAAAUUUCCUUGAAUUUACUGGAGUUUUUGCAUCUACAGGAGAAAAAUUGAAGCCACUAACAUGUAAAAGGAACAAUUCUUUAGUAUAUCUCCUAAAGAUUUUAAAUGUUCUUGUUGUUUAAAUUUUGAGGAAAGGGAGACUGAAACUGAUAAGAAAUAGAUUAACGUUGUUGAAUGGCAUAAUAUAUGCAAGAUUCACAGACUAUUGAAAAGAAACAACUACUGCUUGAAGCAGACUCAUUCACAACUUUGCUCAAAUAAUUAUAAAGUUGGUUAAAAUGAGACAAAAAGGAAUAUAAAUAGUGUACUUCUUUCUCACUUGCUUCCAUAUUCACAUUCUCAUCUUAACUAUUGGGUUAAGUUAUAAAUAUUUGUGUUUCAGAUGACUUUGUGUAAAGACAAACGAAUAUUAUCUUCAGAUCCGACAAUUUUUUCAAUUAUAGUAUUCAAUUCAACAUGGUUCAUUUUAAUCUCUAUUUUUUUUCCUUUUAACAUUAAAAUAAUUGAGGGCAUAGCUCAAGUGGAAAAAGGUGGUGGAUUUGCGUCCCAGGUCAAAGGUUCAAGCCCCCACAACAUGCAAAGCAUAGCCUGCUUGUACGUCAACUGAAAGGCUAUUUUUCUGACGUUUGAACUUGCUCGACAAGCUCUCACCACUUCAAAUUGAAGCUCUUGGUUUUGCUCUCCGGGAAUCACUAAAAACUUGACGUUCAUGAAAACAAAGGUCUCUCCAUUCUGAAUUCCUUAUCUAUUGCAAUUUACGCCAUAUCUCAAGGUAAUUUGUCUUUUCAUAUUUCAUUUGUUGUCUUAGUCAUGUAACCGCUACUGAAGGUGCAGAUAUACCAAGGUGUAACUUAGCAAAAUCAGUAGAUACCAAUAUCUACAAAAUCUAUUAGUUUAAUUGAUUCUUUAUCGUAUUUGGUGGUAGAUGCUUAAAUUUGUUUUAAAGAUCUUAUGGAAUAUCAUAAAACCAUAUGUGUAUUAUUUUGUAUUUCUAUUCACAACUUUGGAGAUUAAAAACACCCCCGUUUCAAAUGUUUACAGAGUAACACCUUUCUUAUAUACUUACCUGCAUGUGCUUUCUGUUGACAUGAAGAAAAUAAAAGCUCUGACUAUA